UCAGGUUAGCAGGGUUCUAGUCC
rnacentral:miRNA from 1 species